rnacentral:rRNA from 1 species
UGUGGUUUAAUUCGAUGCAACGCGAAGAACCUUACCUGGUCUUGACAUCCCGGAGACCCUUAGGAACUAGGGGUGCUUCCAUCUGGAGAAUCUGGAGACAGGUGCUGCAUGGCUGUCGUCAGCUCGUGUCGUGAGAUGUUGGGUUAAGUCCCGCAACGAGCGCAACCCUUGCCUUUAGUUGCCAGCAGUUCGGCUGGGCACUCUAAAGGGACUGCCGGUGUUAAACCGGAGGAAGGUGGGGAUGACGUCAAGUCCUCAUGGCCUUUAUGACCAGGGCUACACACGUACUACAAUGGCCGAUACAAAGGGCAGCGACACUGCGAGGUGAAGCCAAUCCCGUAAAAUCGGUCUCAGUCCGGAUUGGAGUCUGCAACUCGACUCCAUGAAGUUGGAAUCGCUAGUAAUCGUGGAUCAGCAUGCCACGGUGAAUACGUUCCCGGGCCUU